UCCAUUAUAUCAGCAUCUACUUAAUCCACACUGUUUCAUCAACUACAUGAUAAGAUUUAACAUUUUGUGAUUGUGUUGUUUUAACAUUUGUAGGAAAUGCCUCAUGUCUUCCGAAAGCCUAAACACUGUCAUGCAAAUCAAACCCCUUCAUAAAUGAUUAGAGGUGUUCUCAGGAGAAGUGAGGGUCUGGGUUCAGGUUCAGAUCAAACCAUGUUCUCUACACUUCUACUCUUGCUGUUAACAGCUACAUCUGGUAUUAAAUGUAUUGAACUGGUUCAGCCUGCAGUCAUGCUGGUUAAGCCUGGAGAAUCAUUUUCAGUCCCCUGUAAGAUCACUGGAUACUCAGUCACUAGUCAAUGUACUAACUGGAUGCGACAAUCAGGACAAAAACUGGAAUGGAUCGGCUGGUACUGCAGCUCCAGUAAUACUGGCAGCAGCGAUUCACUAAAAAACAAGAUCCGUUUCUCAUCUGAUGCCUCCACCAACACUGUGACUUUACAUGGGCAACAAUUUCAGACUGAGGACACAGCUGUGUAUUACUGUGCACGAGAGCCACAGUCGUUCAGAUUACUGCUGAGGCUGUACAAAAACCAGGGACAUGCUGUGUUGAGCUCACUUUAGUCUGCAUUUGGUCAU